rnacentral:lncRNA from 1 species
UACUCAUGCAAACUCAAAUUUGACGAAUGAAAUGUAAGGCGAGGCCAUAGAGCAUUUUGCAAAUGCUAGGAUUUGAUCCUUCAUUUCUCUCUCUAUGGUGUUUACAAUUUAUUACUAAACGAAGACAACUCUGCUAUCUCUUUUUAUGUGUAACAAUUUCAGAGUGAAGAAAUUAGAAGAAACAGCUUUUGAUCAUUAAUGGCAGACACAGCCCCCACGGAAGAAACUCUGUGCAGAUAGAAUCUGCCCUUCUAUUCAAAAGAAGAACCAGCUCAUAACAUCUCUGCUCCUCCAUGUCUCCCUCUACUUAUACUCCUCUUUUCUCCUUCCCACCUUUCAUCACAUCAUCCCAGCACCUCAUCCUUUCUGUUAGAACUUCCUCUGUAAAUUUCUAGGAUUCUCCAGCCUUUACAACACAACCCUUUCAAGUUCCUAGUACUUUCAUUAGUCAUCACAUCACCAUGAUUGCAGAUUGAGUCUAUAACUUGAAUUUGAAAUUGAAAAUGUUGUCAGAAAAUAAGUGAAUCUAUUAGGGCCUCAGUAUCCUAACAGAGAACUAGAAGAGAGAAAUAGGAAGGAGCAGAAGAAGAGAGAAAUAGAAAUAGAAAGAAGAAUAGGGAGGAGAAAUAGAACCAGAGGAGGAUAAUAAAGUGUUAAUUUUUGGAGUCUUAGCUUCAUCUAGAACAAUUCAUUUGCAAGAAAAAAUUCAAACCAAGUCUUGCACAAUUAUACAUGAUAUCUAUUUCUUUUAAAAUAUAUAUAUAUUUUUUAAAUUAAAAAGAAUUGAAUACAUUCAUUCCAAACAAGAAAAUUGAUAAAAAGGAAAUCAAUUCAAUUCAGUUCUUAUAAAUUCUUUUUAUUGCAAAUUGGGGCGAAUUAGUCUUACAAUCUCCUUUAUUUACUCUGUAUAGCUGCAACUGAAUAACUGUCCCUAACAAGAUAACUGCACUCUAACUACCGGAACCUUUUCCUUCCGGAGCUAACUUCCCUCUCAAAUCACAUCUAUUCUGCCUGCCAUAUCUCUUCCUAUAUUAUGCAACAGAAUCCUAGCUGCUCUUUGUUUCCACGUCAACACAAUUCCAUAUUACAGCCUAAAACUUGAAGAGAAUGCAAUAACGGGUUUGGCUUAGUGUUAACUGCAUCAAUGUGGAAUCUGGCGGUUUGGAUUCAGCUCUCCCCAUCUCCCCUACUCCUUUUACUCUAACCUGAACAAAAAAAGAAAAGAGAAUUAGUCAUGGCAAUGGGUAGAGUGUACGUGAAUCAUCUUUUUACCUGUACCCAAAUCUAAACCUGAUAAAAUUUGCUCUAAUCAACCGAACUCUUCUAGAAUCCAAUUAUUGUUAGUUGAAUAAUACGAGAACUUGUUUAACUUUAUAUAUUUUCAAAUCAUUAGUAAUUUUUAAAUUAAAAGAUUAAUGUUCUUAUUAUUUUUAUUUUUUAAAUUUGAAUAUAUGAAAAUUUAUAAAUAUCAUAAAAUAUAUUUUUACAUUUAAAUAAUGAAAAGUUGAUUUAUAAACUCAAAAUGAAAACUGUUAUAGCUUAUAAGUUAGGUUGACCAGUUUAUAAGCUUAGACAAACAUCCCCUUAAUAGGAUUAUGGCGAAUUGAGUACCUGAAAAAAUUACAAGCCAGUUGUCAUCCCUAAAUAGAAAUUUUUUUCUCUUAAGAAAUAAAUUGAUUCCUUGUGCUUCUUUAUGGCACUAGUGUCUGAAUUUCAUGUGAUGAUAAAUUCCCAUGAUGUUUAUAUAGCAAUUCCUUUAUUUCUUGGUACUUUUUUGUUUGGGUUGAUAAAGAUUCAUGCUAACUUCAACAUUCAACAAUCAAAUAAGUCUUUCCUUUAUUAUCUGGAAUGGUUGCGAAUGAGCCA